CGGACGGGUGAGUAAUGCCUAGGAAUCUGCCUGGUAGUGUGGACAACGUUUCGAAAGGAACGCUAAUACCGCAUACGUCCUACGGGAGAAAGCAGGGGACCUUCGGGCCUUGCGCUAUCAGAUGAGCCUAGGUCGGAUUAGCUAGUUGGUGAGGUAAUGGCUCACCAAGGCGACGAUCCGUAACUGGUCUGAGAGGAUGAUCAGUCACACUGGAACUGAGACACGGUCCAGACUCCUACGGGAGGCAGCAGCC
rnacentral:rRNA from 1 species